UGCCUUUGUUAACUUGCAGGAGCUGUCUAACGGUAUCAAACAGCAAAGGGAUGUUUGACUGCUGAAAGCUUAUAUCAGCUCCAAGAACGAAGUCGAAACCUCCAGGAUGUUUUUGUAAAAUUUCAUGGAUCUGAUCAGUGUUUCCCCAUUCUAGUUUCUCUGCCACUAAUCCUGCAUAUAUAUUUAAAUCAAAAUUCAGAGGGACUAAUAAGUAUCUUCCAUUGAUCAUCUAGGUAUUUACUCACCAUUAGAAGUAGGACUAAUAUUCUCGGGACAUGAAUGCAGCUCUAUAUUUUUCUUUAUGAUCUGAGAUGAGGUAGUUUAAUUAGACCACAUAGAAUAAUCAGGAAGGAGAUAUGCCACCAUAUGUUAUACAAAUCGAUUUUUUAUAACCCUACCUUAAGCACUUCUUCAUUAUGGUCUGUCAACACAACUUUAUUGCAGAAUCUGCGGCAAAGUAUUCCAGUAAUACCUGUGAUUCAAAAGCAAGAAAUAAUCAGGCCAUCAAGGUCUAA
rnacentral:lncRNA from 1 species